ACGCGUUACAGCCUUAUAUUCUUGUUGUAUUCUAAAUAACGGAAGUGUGGAACGUGCGUGCGCUCUUCGAUCAGUAACUGCAACGCUUGUUUCAAAGGGGUCCCCAUUUUGGGAUCGUUGUCUACUACAAGUCGUGCAAACGAAAACAAAUUGUUGACCUGUUCACUUUUUGUGCAAACUGCAACACUCGUUUCAAAGUCGGCUCCAGUUUCGUAUACAUCAUUUUUAUGAUACAAACUACAGAUGAAUUGGUUGCAGAAACUGUCUUGUUAUGACACAAUCAUGAAUGGUUAUGGGCAAGGAUUGACUUGAGUCAAGUUGAGUUGAGUUAACCCAAUCAACGUUGUGCACAAAGCAGCUGGCUUUUUGUCUGAAAUGGUUAUGUACAUUAUGUUGUGACAUGUACAUGGAUACUUAUUAUUACUAUUAACUAGUCUAGCAUAAAACUAGUGUAAGGUCUC